rnacentral:lncRNA from 1 species
AAUAAAGGCUGCUUUUUCCUAUUGCUCUAGAGGAGGCUGUUGUAUUUCCCUAUUGACACAUCUGUACGGGUGUGUAUAAAUGUAUAUGUAUAUGUGUAUAUUGUUUGUAGGCGCCCGGAGCUGUUGGGUCAAAGCCGACUUUGCUUUCACCAUUUCUCAAUAUCGGUGCUCUUGACAUGGCUAGAAAUUGAAACAGAUGCUGUUUUAUCUUAGAGGUGAAAACAAAGCACUUGAAUCCUAACAUGAUAAUCCCAGAGGAGGUAGAAACAGCACCGGAGAGAGAAAAGCCUGGAAAAGCUGCUGGACUGGACUGAGUGUUUACAGAGAAGAUCCAUGAGUUUCAGGUGCCAGAGAUCCGUGAUCCCCACAAAAAUCUAGGAGUUCAAGCCACAACAACAUUGGAGCCCAGAUUGUAGACAGGGGGAUAUAGCCAUUCAACCCAGCAUGGAAACUUGAGAAGACAGGGUACCUGGCACUUGAGCCUAAGGGAGGUUUUGGACUUGCAACUGGAUCUUUGCUUUAUAGGAAACUAGACAUGCUUUCAGUAACUGAUAUAGAAGGCAGACAGCCAUUCAAGGUCAUAGGAUAUUCCUGGGAGAGCCUGGGCUAGGGAAGAGCCCCUGAAGGAACCUGAAGGGAGGUGAGAAGCCGGGAGAUUGCUUAAUGUCCUGAGUACAUUUUUCAACAUGCUAUUGUUCUUCUCUACUGUGCCCAUUAUCUCACUGAAGUAACUUAACAUUAAAAUACUUCUUGUCUUCAUCUGAAGAAUUUUAUCAAAAUUUUCAUAGAAUUUCUCCAUUCUCUAUGACGUUGG